rnacentral:rRNA from 1 species
GACGGAGGGUGCUAGCGUUGUUCGGAAUCACUGGGCGUAAAGGGCGCGUAGGCGGCCGGUUGCGUCGGAUGUGAAAGCCCGGGGCUCAACCCCGGAACGGCAUCCGAUACGGGCUGGCUUGAGACCGAGAGAGGUGAGUGGAAUACCCAGUGUAGAGGUGAAAUUCGUAGAUAUUGGGUGGAACACCGGUGGCGAAAGCGGCUCACUGGCUCGGUUCUGACGCUGAGGCGCGAAAGCGUGGGGAGCAAACAGG